rfam:Rattus norvegicus chromosome 6, whole genome shotgun sequence.
GGGGAUUUAGCUCAGUGGUAGAGCGCUUGCCUAGCAAGCGCAAGGCCCUGGGUUCGGUCCCCAGCCCCA